rnacentral:rRNA from 1 species
GUGCCAGCAGCCGCGGUAAUACGUAGGGUGCGAGCGUUAAUCGGAAUUACUGGGCGUAAAGCGUGCGCAGGCGGCUAUACAAGACAGGCGUGAAAUCCCCGGGCUUAACCUGGGAACUGCGUUUGUGACUGUAUGGCUAGAGUACGGCAGAGGGGGGUGGAAUUCCACGUGUAGCAGUGAAAUGCGUAGAGAUGUGGAGGAACACCGAUGGCGAAGGCAGCCCCCUGGGCCAGUACUGACGCUCAUGCACGAAAGCGUGGGGAGCAAACAGGAUUAGAAACCCUGGUAGUCC